rnacentral:rRNA from 1 species
GAUGAACGCUGGCGGCGUGCCUAAUACAUGCAAGUCGAGCGAACAGACGAGAAGCUUGCUUCUCUGAUGUUAGCGGCGGACGGGUGAGUAACACGUGGAUAACCUACCUAUAAGACUGGGAUAACUUCGGGAAACCGGAGCUAAUACCGGAUAAUAUUUUGAACCGCAUGGUUCAAUAGUGAAAGACGGUCUUGCUGUCACUUAUAGAUGGAUCCGCGCUGCAUUAGCUAGUUGGUAAGGUAACGGCUUACCAAGGCAACGAUGCGUAGCCGACCUGAGAGGGUGAUCGGCCACACUGGAACUGAGACACGGUCCAGACUCCUACGGGAGGCAGCAGUAGGGAAUCUUCCGCAAUGGGCGAAAGCCUGACGGAGCAACGCCGCGUGAGUGAUGAAGGUCUUCGGAUCGUAAAACUCUGUUAUUAGGGAAGAACAUAUGUGUAAGUAACUAUGCACAUCUUGACGGUACCUAAUCAGAAAGCCACGGCUAACUACGUG